GAUGAACGCUGGCGGCGUGCCUAAUACAUGCAAGUCGAGCGAACAGACCAGGGCUUGGCUUGCUGGACGUUAGCCGCGGGGGUGUGAGUAACAUGUGCAUAACCCACCUAUUAGACGGUGAUAACUGCGAGAAACCGCAACUAAUACCGGAGAAUAUAUUGAACAGCAUGGGUCAAUAGUGAGAAACGGGGUUGCGGUCGCGUAUAGAGGGAACCGCGCCGCUGGAGCGAGUAGGUAAGGUAACGGCUUACCAAGGCAACGAUGCGUAGCCGAACUGAGAGGGUGAUCGGCCACACUGGAAGUGAGACACGGUACAGACUCCUACGGGCGGGAGCCGUAGGGAAUCUUGCGCAAUGGGCGAAAGACUGACGGAGCAGCGCCGCGUGAGUAAUGAACGUCUUCGGAUCGUAAAACUCUGUUAUUGGGGAAGAACAAAUGUGUAAGUAACUAUGCACGACUGGACGGUACCUAACCAGAAAGCCGCGGCUAACUAAGUG
rnacentral:rRNA from 1 species